rnacentral:piRNA from 1 species
UGAGACCACUCUUAGUUGGAUGGUACG